UAGGGAAUCUUCGGCAAUGGGGGCAACCCUGACCGAGCAACGCCGCGUGAGUGAAGAAGGUUUUCGGAUCGUAAAGCUCUGUUGUAAGAGAAGAACGUGUGUGAGAGUGGGAAGUUCACACAGUGACGGUAACUUACCAGAAAGGGACGGCUAACUACGUGCCAGCAGCCGCGGUAAUACGUAGGUCCCGAGCGUUGUCCGGAUUUAUUGGGCGUAAAGCGAGCGCAGGCGG
rnacentral:rRNA from 1 species